CGGGACACGUGGUAUCCUGUCUGAAUAUGGGGGGACCAUCCUCCAAGGCUAAAUACUCCUGACUGACCGAUAGUGAACCAGUACCGUGAGGGAAAGGCGAAAAGAACCCCGGCGAGGGGAGUGAAAAAGAACCUGAAACCGUGUACGUACAAGCAGUGGGAGCCUCUUUAUGGGGUGACUGCGUACCUUUUGUAUAAUGGGUCAGCGACUUAUAUUCUGUAGCAAGGUUAACCGAAUAGGGGAGCCGAAGGGAAACCGAGUCUUAACUGGGCGUUAAGUUGCAGGGUAUAGACCCGAAACCCGGUGAUCUAGCCAUGGGCAGGUUGAAGGUUGGGUAACACUAACUGGAGGACCGAACCGACUAAUGUUGAAAAAUUAGCGGAUGACUUGUGGCUGGGGGUGAAAGGCCAAUCAAACCGGGAGAUAGCUGGUUCUCCCCGAAAGCUAUUUAGGUAGCGCCUCGUGAAUUCAUCUCCGGGGGUAGAGCACUGUUUCGGCAAGGGGGUCAUCCCGACUUACCAACCCGAUGCAAACUGC
rnacentral:rRNA from 1 species